UACGUAGGGUGCGAGCGUUGUCCGGAAUUAUUGGGCGUAAAGGGCUCGUAGGCGGUUUGUCGCGUCGGGAGUGAAAACGCCGUGCUUAACACGGCGCUUGCUUUCGAUACGGGCAGACUAGAGGUAUGCAGGGGAGAACGGAAUUCCUGGUGUAGCGGUGAAAUGCGCAGAUAUCAGGAGGAACACCGGUGGCGAAGGCGGUUCUCUGGGCCUGUACUGACGCUGAGGAACGAAAGCGUGGGGAGCGAACAGG
rnacentral:rRNA from 1 species